UACGGAGGGGGCUAGCGUUGUUCGGAAUUACUGGGCGUAAAGCGCACGUAGGCGGCUUUGUAAGUCAGGGGUGAAAUCCCAGAGCUCAACUCUGGAACUGCCUUUGAUACUGUCGAUCUGGAGUAUGGAAGAGGUGAGUGGAAUUCCGAGUGUAGAGGUGAAAUUCGUAGAUAUUCGGAGGAACACCAGUGGCGAAGGCGGCUCACUGGUCCAUUACUGACGCUGAGGUGCGAAAGCGUGGGGAGCAAACAGG
rnacentral:rRNA from 1 species